rnacentral:lncRNA from 1 species
CGGAGAGGAGAGAGGAAGAGGAAGGAACGCGCCUGGCGUCACUGAGGGUGUCACCCGGGACCGCGGCUCAGGUACCCAAGCUUCUCCGCGAGUCCAGCGCUGCCACUCGGCGGCCGCCGCGGGCGCGGGGAUCCUGGGUCGCUCCGCCUUGACCCACGCGCCCCACGCCCCGGGACUUACACCUGGGGUCGCUCCCCGCACGCGCGGGCCUCGCGCCGGUGCCGCCGCAGCGCCCCCUGCAGGCCGGAGCCGAGCUGGCCCAGGCCUGAGUCUGGCCCGGGGUUCCGUGGCCCCAGUGCCGGCCCCGCGGCUGCUGCUCCGGCCCGGCCAGGUGCCUUCGUGUUGAGGCGAAAGGACUGGGCCUCAGUGGGUGAAGGGACCGGGUGGCCCGCUUCCACCUAGGGCAGAGGCUGGAUCGGCCGCGGCGAGGCUGGGCCCAGCAUUACUGGGAGGGGAACUUGAGAGCCGCGGGUUGAUGUUCGGAGCUCAGGCGACGACUGACCACCCACCCUUCCUCGAAGAGGAACAAUGGCUUGGGUUUGGUUUUUAAUUUUUGAUUCCCCCACCUCCCCUUUCUUGAUUCCAAAGGAAAUAUAGCAUUCAAGCGCCAUGUCUGUUGGGAAUAUAUAAUUCCUUGGCAAAGAAAGAGGAAACAUUUCUCUGAUAAACACAAGAAUCUCACUGAUGGAAUUUGAGAAAUGGCAGGUGUGAGGACUCUGACCUUCCCAUGAAGCAGGUCAUAAGACCCUCAUGUGAGAGAUGCCCUCUCUAUACCUGGAGAAAAGAAGCAGUCUUAUUUGUGAAGACAGAGAGACGCCAAGAGGAAUCUAAAUGAAUAGGCCUUGGAACCCCAGACGCACGGGCCUUGUGCUGUCGCUGCCGUGGCACCCCUUCUAGAAGGACUCUAUUCUCUAUAACAGAAGUGGGAGCCUUGGACAACUGAACGCCUAUCUCUAGCUCAAGAAAUGUCAGCUCUUUUUUUUUUUUUGAGACUGUCACCCAGUCGGGAGUACAGUGGCGCCAUCUUGGCUCUCUGUAACCUCCACCUCCUGGGUUCAAGCGAUUCUCCUGCCUCAGCCUCCUGAGUAGCUGGGGCUACAGGUAUGCACCAUCACUCCUGGCUAAUUGUUGUAUUUUUAGUAGAUAAUGGGGUUUCACCAUGUUGGCCAGGGUGGUCUCAAACUCCUGACCUCAGGUGAUCUGCCUGCCUCGGCCUCCCAAAGUGCUGGGAUUACAGACGUGAGCCACCAUGCCCAGCCAAGAAAUGUCAAUUCUUUAUCGUAGCCUGGCUUUCCAUAUUUCUCACUAGGGUUUUUAUUCUCUAGUUUGUAAAUCACAUUUGGCGUUUGUAGAUCACUCCUUCCCUUUUAGUGGCAUUCUCUAUUAGGUGUCCAUCUCCCAAUAUGAAGAAACAGUUUUCUGCUUUUUCCUCCUUUAUCUGAUCCAUUUACAGAUUUAUUACAUUUAUAAUAGGCUAGGUAUUGGGGAUACAAAAAUGAAUAAGAUAUGGUCUGUUUUCAAAGGUAUGCAGAAACUUUUCUAUAUAUUCCUACUGACUUGUAUUUGUAUUUCUUGAAUUAAAAACAAUCCUGGCUGUGUUUUUUUUUUUUUUUUUUUGCUCUUAGUGAAUCUUUGUUUCUUCUUUUCAUUAUGGCAUUCCAGUUGAGUUUCACCACGCAUUAUCAUGAGAAUAAAUAAUUUCACUGACUUUAAUAAUAUUUGAUCACUUAUGUUGAUGUCAUUUAACUCUCAUUUACAUUUCAGUGGUCUAAAACACAACUAAGAUACUAAAAGAAAAAUAAAAGAUGAGAUUAUUGGCAAAUAAUUACCAC